rnacentral:lncRNA from 1 species
AGAAGCUCCACGCCCCUGCCCACCCUCGCCCUGGGCAGCUCUUCCGUUGACCAUUUAUGAGCUGUAUCCUCUAUAAUGAACCAGUAAUGAUCUCCGGAUUCAAGAAUUUGAAUCCAGGCAAAGAAGCAAGAAAACAGACAUGCAACCCAACCAAGAGAUUGUGCUUGAGCAUGCAAGAACUGAUUGAACGCGUACCUGCCAUGAGACAGGGAUUGACCAGGCUAUGCCAUUCAUCUACAAGUUUUUCAAAUUAUCAAAAAUCUCCAAAAAAUGUUUCCAACAUGUUUACUGGAAAAAAAUUACGUCACAACAGAGCAUUCAAUCCAUUGAAAAGAUGCAAGGCACUGUGUAUGUGUCCUAGAACAUAAACAAAGUCAAAAGAGGCAGCCUUUGUGACAGAAGAACUGAACUGUUGAUUGAAGACUGGGCUCCCGUCCCGGGGCUGGCAGUGGCCGUGCAGGCAGCCGUGGGCAAGUCUGCGCCCCUCUCUGACUCUGUUACCCCUCUGGGGGGAUGAAGGUGAAUUAUUGUAGCCCUGAUUCCUGUGGUUCCACACCAUCAAAUCCAACUAGAUUUAUCUUUGAAUGUGUGGCUUACAAUCUAAUACAAAUGUAACAUCCUGUCUUAUCCUAAAGGAUGAAUCCAAAACAUCAAAAUUGAGUUAAAAUACAGUUUCCUAAAUAAAGAGCAAAAAUAUCUGUUUACCCAUGACUAAACAUGAGUGCAGGGCACUCCCCAACAGCCAGAUUCUGGUCUUGUCCCUCUUUGAGGGACAGCUACUCCAG